rnacentral:lncRNA from 1 species
UGGGGGGGGGCUAGGAUGAAAAAUUUUGUCCUGUUUUUUUUUUUAGUUGUAAUCCCUGUCCUGCCUUUUUAUUUUUUACUCUAUUCGGUCCUGCCUUUUUUUUACUAGUUUAUCCUGACUUUUUUUACACAAAUUGUCAUCCUGCCUUUUUUUUUUUACCAAGUUGCUCAUCCUGCCUUUUUUUUAACUCAAAACUCCUGUCCUGCCUAUUUUUUUCAAAUUUCAUCCUAGCCCCCCCAUAAAAAUCAAAUGGUAGCUCCCUAAU